rnacentral:rRNA from 1 species
CCUACGGGUUGCACCAGUGGGGAAUAUUGCACAAUGGGCGCAAGCCUGAUGCAGCCGUGCCGCGUGUAUGAGGAAGGCCUACGGGUUGUAAAGUACUUUCAGCGGGAGGAAGGCGAUAAGGUUAAUAACCUUGUCGAUUGACGUUACCCGCAGAAGAAGCACCGGCUAACUCCGUGCCAGCAGCCGCGGUAAUACGGAGGGUGCAAGCGUUAAUCGGAAUUACUGGGCGUAAAGCGCACGCAGGCGGUCUGUCAAGUCGGAUGUGAAAUCCCCGGGCUCAACCUGGGAACUGCAUUCGAAACUGGCAGGCUGGAGUCUUGUAGAGGGGGGUAGAAUCCCUGGUGUAGCGGUGAAAUGCGUAGAGAUCUGGAGGAAUACCGGUGGCGAAGGCGGCCCCCUGGACAAAGACUGACGCUCAGGUGCGAAAGCGUGGGGAGCAAACAGGAUUAGAUACCCGUGUAGUC